rnacentral:rRNA from 1 species
GCGCAAUGGGCGGAAGCCUGACGCAGCGACGCCGCGUGGGGGAUGACGGCCUUCGGGUUGUAAACCUCUUUCGCCAGGGACGAAGCUUUUGUGACGGUACCUGGAGAAGAAGCACCGGCCAACUACGUGCCAGCAGCCGCGGUAACACGUAGGGUGCGAGCGUUGUCCGGAAUUAUUGGGCGUAAAGAGCUCGUAGGCGGUGUGUCGCGUCGGCCGUGAAAACUUGGGGCUUAACUCUGAGCGUGCGGUCGAUACGGGCAUCACUUGAGUUCGGCAGGGGAGACUGGAAUUCCUGGUGUAGCGGUGAAAUGCGCAGAUAUCAGGAGGAACACCGGUGGCGAAGGCGGGUCUCUGGGCCGAUACUGACGCUGAGGAGCGAAAGCGUGGGGAGCGAACAGGAUUAGAUACCCUGGUAGUCCACGCCGUAAACGUUGGGCGCUAGGUGUGGGGACCAUUCCACGGUUUCUGUGCCGCAGCUAACGCAUUAAGCGCCCCGCCUGGGGAGUACGGCCGCAAGGCU